GAUGAACGCUGGCUACAGGCUUAACACAUGCAAGUCGAGGGGAAACGACGGGGAAGCUUGCUUCCCCGGGCGUCGACCGGCGCACGGGUGAGUAACGCGUAUCCAACCUGCCUCUGACUGAGGGAUAACCCGUCGAAAGUCGGCCUAAUACCUCAUGGCAUCGUCUGCGGGCAUCCAACGACGAUUAAAGAUUUCAUCGGUCAGGGAUGGGGAUGCGUCUGAUUAGCUAGUUGGCGGGGUAACGGCCCACCAAGGCGACGAUCAGUAGGGGUUCUGAGAGGAAGGUACCCCACAUUGGAACUGAGACACGGUCCAAACUCCUACGGGAGGCAGCAGUGAGGAAUAUUGGUCAAUGGGCGAGAGCCUGAACCAGCCAAGUAGCGUGCAGGAUGACGGCCCUAUGGGUUGUAAACUGCUUUUAUGCGGGGAUAAAGUGAGGGACGUGUCCUUCAUUGCAGGUACCGCAUGAAUAAGGACCGGCUAAUUCCGUG
rnacentral:rRNA from 1 species